CAGAGGUCUCAACCGUUGUUCGGAUUCAUUGGGCGUAAAGGGUGCGUAGGCGGUCGCGCAAGUCGGAUGUGAAAUCCCAGGGCUCAACCCUGGAACUGCAUUCGAUACUGCGUGGCUCGGGUACUGGAGAGGAGACUGGAAUUUACGGUGUAGCAGUGAAAUGCGUAGAUAUCGUAAGGAAGACCAGUGGCGAAGGCGAGUCUCUGGACAGUUACCGACGCUGAGGCACGAAGGCCAGGGGAGCAAACGGGAUUAGAUACCCCGGUAGUCCUGGCAGUAAACGGUGCACGUUUGGUGUAGGCGGAUUCGACCCCGCCUGUGCCGGAGCUAACGCGUUAAACGUGCCGCCAGGGAAGUACGGUCGCAAGAUUA
rnacentral:rRNA from 1 species